rnacentral:rRNA from 1 species
GACGAACGCUGGCGGCGUGCUUAACACAUGCAAGUCGAACGGUGAAGCGCCUUCCUUUUUGGUGGGUGUGGAUGAGUGGCGAACGGGUGAGUAACACGUGAGUAACCUGCCCCCUUCUUCUGGAUAACCGCAUGAAAGUGUGGCUAAUACGGGAUAUUCUGGGUCUGUCGCAUGAUGGGUCUGGGAAAGAUAUUGUUUCGGUGGGGGAUGGGCUCGCGGCCUAUCAGCUUGUUGGUGGGGUGAUGGCCUACCAAGGCGGUGACGGGUAGCCGGCCUGAGAGGGUGGACGGUCACACUGGGACUGAGACACGGCCCAGACUCCUACGGGAGGCAGCAGUGGGGAAUAGUGCACCAUGGGCGCAAGCCUGAUGCAGCGACGCCGCGUGAGGGAUGGAGGCCUUCGGGUUGUGAACCUCUUUCGCCAGUGAAGCAGGCCUGCCUCGUUUGUGGGUGGGUUGACGGUAGCUGGAUAAGAAGCGCCGGCUAACUACGUG